GUUUGCUAUUAUUCCUCAUCGACCGCAAAAAGGCUUUCAUCGAUUCCAAAAUGAAUAAGUAUACAAUUUUACUAGCUUUACUGUUGGUGCAGCUGGUGGCCUUUGGAUAUGCCGCUUCGACUACAAAUGGAAAUGAGGGUGGAUCCGCACAAUGCAUGUGUGCCACAACCCAAGAUCCUGAUGGAGAUGAUACUGACGCUACUCAAGCGCCAACUAACGCUGACCUGGAUAAUGCCGCGAAAAGGAAUUCUGGGAAUUCUGGGAAGUAAUUGCGAUCACAAUGGCCCCUUUGUUUUUCUCUA